GGCGUCCCAACCGCAGGCGGGGACGACG
rnacentral:tRNA from 1 species